UGGGGAAUUUUGGACAAUGGGGGAAACCCUGAUCCAGCCAUCCCGCGUGUGCGAUGAAGGCCUUCGGGUUGUAAAGCACUUUUGGCAGGAAAGAAACGUCAUGGGUUAAUACCCCGUGAAACUGACGGUACCUGCAGAAUAAGCACCGGCUAACUACGUGCCAGCAGCCGCGGUAAUACGUAGGGUGCAAGCGUUAAUCGGAAUUACUGGGCGUAAAGCGUGCGCAGGCGGUUCGGAAAGAAAGAUGUGAAAUCCCAGAGCUCAACUUUGGAACUGCAUUUUUAACUACCGGGCUAGAGUGUGUCAGAGGGAGGUGGAAUUCCGCGUGUAGCAGUGAAAUGCGUAGAUAUGCGGAGGAACACCGAUGGCGAAGGCAGCCUCCUGGGAUAACACUGACGCUCAUGCACGGAAGCGUGGGGAGCAAACAGG
rnacentral:rRNA from 1 species